AGGGUUUGAUCCUGGCUCAGAUUGAACGCUGGCGGAAUGCUUUACACAUGCAAGUCGAGCGGCAGCGCGGGGCAACCUGGCGGCGAGCGGCGAACGGGUGAGUAAUGCAUCGGAACAUGUCCAAUUGUGGGGGAUAGCCCGGCGAAAGCCGGAUUAAUACCGCAUGAGCCCGAGAGGGGAAAGUGGGGGACCGCAAGGCCUCACGCGAUUGGGUUGGCCGAUGUCCGAUUAGCUAGUUGGCGGGGUAAAGGCCCACCAAGGCGAUGAUCGGUAGCUGGUCUGAGAGGAUGAUCAGCCACACUGGGACUGAGACACGGCCCAGACUCCUACGGGAGGCAGCAGUGGGGAAUUUUGGACAAUGGGGGCAACCCUGAUCCAGCCAUUCCGCGUGAGUGAAGAAGGCCUUCGGGUUGUAAAGCUCUUUUGUCCGGAGCGAAACGGCUACGUCUAAUACACGUGGCUACUGACGGUACCGGAAGAAUAAGCACCGGCUAACUACGUGCCAGCAGCCGCGGUAAUACGUAGGGUGCGAGCGUUAAUCGGAAUUACUGGGCGUAAAGCGUGCGCAGGCGGUUUUGUAAGCCAGAUGUGAAAUCCCCGGGCUCAACCUGGGAAUGGCAUUUGGGACUGCAAGGCUUGAGUGCGGCAGAGGAGACUGGAAUUCCUGGUGUAGCAGUGAAAUGCGUAGAUAUCAGGAGGAAUACCGAUGGCGAAGGCAGGUCUCUGGGCUGACACUGACGCUCAUGCACGAAAGCGUGGGGAGCAAACAGGAUUAGAUACCCUGGUAGUCCACGCCCUAAACGAUGUCGACUGGUUGUUGGGGGUUUGACACUCUCAGUAACGAAGCUAACGCGUGAAGUCGACCGCCUGGGGAGUACGGCCGCAAGGUUAAAACUCAAAGGAAUUGACGGGGACCCGCACAAGCGGUG
rnacentral:rRNA from 1 species